rnacentral:rRNA from 1 species
AGAGUUUGAUCCUGGCUCAGGAUGAACGCUGGCGGCGUGCUUAACACAUGCAAGUCGAACGAAGCACUUUAUUUGAUUUCCUUCGGGACUGAUUAUUUUGUGACUGAGUGGCGGACGGGUGAGUAACGCGUGGGUAACCUGCCUUGUACAGGGGGAUAACAGUUGGAAACGGCUGCUAAUACCGCAUAAGCGCACAGCAUCGCAUGAUGCAGUGUGAAAAACUCCGGUGGUAUAAGAUGGACCCGCGUUGGAUCAGCUAGUUGGUGAGGUAACGGCCCACCAAGGCGACGAUCCAUAGCCGACCUGAGAGGGUGACCGGCCACAUUGGGACUGAGACACGGCCCAAACUCCUACGGGAGGCAGCAGUGGGGAAUAUUGCACAAUGGGCGAAAGCCUGAUGCAGCGACGCCGCGUGAGCGAAGAAGUAUUUCGGUAUGUAAAGCUCUAUCAGCAGGGAAGAUAAUGACGGUACCUGACUAAGAAGCACCGGCUAAAUACGUGCCAGCAGCCGCGGUAAUACGUAUGGUGCAAGCGUUAUCCGGAUUUACUGGGUGUAAAGGGAGCGCAGGCGGUGCGGCAAGUCUGAUGUGAAAGCCCGGGGCUCAACCCCGGUACUGCAUUGGAAACUGUCGUACUAGAGUGUCGGAGGGGUAAGCGGAACUCCUAGUGUAGCGGUGAAAUGCGUAGAUAUUAGGAGGAACACCAGUGGCGAAGGCGGCUUACUGGACGAUAACUGACGCUGAGGCUCGAAAGCGUGGGGAGCAAACCAGGAUUAGAUACCCUGGUAGUCCACGCCGUAAACGAUGA